ACUUAUUUAAUAUAAAAAGUAUAUUAAGCUUCCAACUUAAAUGUUUCACUAGAAAAUAAGUA
rnacentral:tRNA from 2 species